rnacentral:rRNA from 1 species
AAUGAUGGUGACCUAAACCCUCACCAGAGUAACAAUUGGAGGGCAAGUCUGGUGCCAGCAGCCGCGGUAAUUCCAGCUCCAAUAGCGUAUAUUAAACUUGUUGCAGUUAAAAAGCUCGUAGUUGAAUUUCUGCGUUAUCGAGUUAUUGACUCUUGUCUUUAAUCGAUUUCGCUUUUGGGAUUUAUCCCUUUUUACUUUGAGAAAAUUAGAGUGUUUCAAGCAGACUUUUGUCUUGAAUACUUCAGCAUGGAAUAAUAGAGUAGGACUUUGGUUCUAUUUUGUUGGUUUUUGAACCUUAGUAAUGGUUAAUAGGAACGGUUGGGGGCAUUCGUAUUUAACUGUCAGAGGUGAAAUUCUUAGAUUUGUUAAAGACGAACUACUGCGAAAGCAUUUGCCAAGGACGUUUCCAUUAAUCAAGAACGAAAGUUAGGGGAUCGAAGACGAUCAGAUCCGUCGUAGUCCU